rnacentral:rRNA from 1 species
GACGUAGGGCGCGAGCGUUGUCCGGAUUUAUUGGGCGUAAAGAGCUCGUCGGCGGCUUGUCGCGUCGAAUGUGAAAUCUCAGGGCUCAACUCUGACAUUGCAUUCGAUACGGGCAGGCUCGAGUUCGGUAGGGGAGACUGGAAUUCCUGGUGUAGCGGUGAAAUGCGCAGAUAUCAGGAGGAACACCGGUGGCGAAGGCGGGUCUCUGGGCCGAUACUGACGCUGAGGAGCGAAAGCGUGGGGAGCGAACAGG